rnacentral:misc_RNA from 1 species
AAGACUAUAGACCUGCGGAGUACCUGCGGAGGGAUCAUUAUCGAGUUUACAACUCCCAAACCAUUGUGAAUCUUACCUUUUCGUUGCUUCGGCGGGAUCGCCCCGGGCGCUUCGGUGCCCCGGAUUCAGGCGCCCGCCGGGGGACCUAAACUCUUGUAUUAUAGUGGAUUUCUGAGUGGAUUACACAAAUAAUCAAAACUUUCAACAACGGAUCUCU